rnacentral:lncRNA from 1 species
UAUAGAAUAAUAUUCUAAUUUCUUAACCUCAGGUGUAUUAUUACAGUCUGCACCACUGAUAGAGGACUUUUUAUUCAGCCAAAUCUGUGUAUUUUUCAUGUUGUAUCUAGCUUGGCAGUAUGUGCCUCAAGUCUGCCAGGAUGAUCUUCUCCUGUCGUAUCUGCCCUGCCACACUUGGUUGGCCCUUAUAGACAAGACUGUGUUGUAAUUAUCAUCACACCCUUCAAAGUGUAUACCUGUCAUUCUUCAUCUAUCUAUCCAUCUACCUACCCACAACUCAGCGAGCCUCUACUUUGUGCUAGACCUGUGAACUCAUAGCCCUGAGCAUAAUUAUAUGCUGAGUCCUACGAAUCUUCCUAGGAAAUCACAUAUAUAUGAAUGAAACAUUUUAUAUCGAUUUUUAAAUGCUCACUACAUGCCUCUGAAGCAGUCAAGCAGUUUAUUGUGGUUUAAUGAUGAGAUGCAUGUGCUGAGGAGGUAAUCAGAAGAAGUGAGAAAAGGAGACGGUGUGAAAUUUUGAAGAUUUUAUAUGCCAUGAUGCAGAAAUAAAAGUUCAGCAGGGUCAAGUAAGUUGUCCAAUGUUCAGUAUGAUGGAGUGGGAUUCACAUGCAAGACUAACUACCACUGAACCAUUUACUUCUGACUUUGCUAUUCUGCUUCCACUCACUGAACAUCUCUCUGAGCAAGGCUCAGCACCUGGUAUGAAGGCUGAAACAAGAGCGGUUGCACAGCAAAUGUUUUGCUAUAAUGAGAGAAUACAUGAAUUAAAUGCGAAUUAAACUGCUUCUA